UGGAAAUUGUGAAAGGUAAUUGGAUGUUUGUUUGAGUGGGGUGUGUGGGUGUGUGUGUGAUUAUAAAACAUUAAUAUUCAAAAGUAUAAAGUGUUAAAUUAGAAUGUUUCCAAUGUGUUUUUGAGGGAGAGAAUGUACAAAGGCUACAUGGGUGCACUGAUAAAGUGCUGAUUUCGGAGUGCAUUUGAGGCAUGUUGAAAUUUUGGGGAAGGAGUUUCUUGGUUUGGUGUGGGUUUUUUUCGACGUUUCCAGUGAUUAGUGCCCAAAAUAAGCUCACCAGCUGAAUAUAGACAGCCUAAAAAUCUCUCUAACAGGUUCAUUGACAUAAAUGAUCCUGUGAUUUGAUCCAA
rnacentral:snoRNA from 1 species